AUUGAACGCUGGCGGCAGGCCUAACACAUACAAGUCGAGCGGAGCGGCGGACGGGUGAGUAAUGCCUAGGAAUCUGCCUGGUAUUGGGAUAUAACGUCCGGAAACGGGCGAUAAUAACUCAUACUAUCAGAACAGCAUAGGUCGGAUUAUCUAGUUGGUGGGGUAAAGGCCUACACAGGCGACGAUCCGUAACUGGACUGAGAGGUUGAUCAGUCACACUGGAACUGAGCAACGGUCCAGACUCCUACGGAAGGCAGCAGUGGGGAAUAUUGGACAAGGGGCGAAAGCCUGAUCCAGCCAUGCCGCGUGUGUGAAGAAGGUCUUCGGAUUGUAAAGCACUUUAAGUUGGGAGGCGUUACCAACAGAAUAAGCACCGGCUAACUUCGUGCCAGCAGCCGCGGUAAUAC
rnacentral:rRNA from 1 species